rnacentral:lncRNA from 1 species
CUUCUUAUUGUCUUCUUGUUUUCCUCUUCUUCGCCUCCUCCUUCUCCUUCUCAUCCUCCUCCUCCUCCUCCUUCUUCUUCUUCUUCUUCUCCUUCUUCUUCUCUUCUUAUUCUCUUCUUGUUUUCCUCUUCUUCGCCUCCUCCUUCUCCUUCUCAUCCUCCUCCUCCUCCUCCUUCUUCUUCUUCUUCUUCUCCUUCUUCUCUUCUUGCUUCUUCUCUUUCUUGUUCUACGUAGCUUCUUUUCCC